UACGGAGGAUGCGAGCGUUAUCCGGAUUUAUUGGGUUUAAAGGGUGCGCAGGCGGAUUUUUAAGUCAGCGGUCAAAUCGUGGGGCUCAACCCCAUCCAGCCGUUGAAACUGGGGAUCUAGAGUGUGCGAGAGGUAUGCGGAAUGCGUGGUGUAGCGGUGAAAUGCAUAGAUAUUACACAGAACACCGAUUGCGAAGGCAGCUUGCUAGGCCGGAUCUGACACUGAUGCACGAAAGCGUGGGGAUCGAACAGG
rnacentral:rRNA from 1 species